CUCUUUGUUUUUCCUCUUUCUCUCUUGCUAGAUUUGGAGUUGCUUGAUAUCAAGGACAACAGCACAUUCAUCUCCAGGUACCCAGUACCUACCACAGUGCCUGACUCUGCAGGCAGCACUCAGUCGGUGCUUGCUGGAUGGAUAAAUGUGGUGGGUGGUUCUACAAUCAAUUUUCCAAUAAGGUGCACUGAGGAACCAACAAGAAGAAAGAGAGCCUAUAUCUCACUGGGCAUAUUCUGGAGGAUUCGUGCAGGAAAUGGUGGCAUUUGGGCUGCCCUUUCAAAGAAAAUUUCACCAGCGGGGACAACAGAGGAAAGCUUAAAAGGACAGAGGAACAGUCUGGAGGAAGACAAGAAGGCCAGUCCGGGGGCAGCUGCAGUGACGCGUCUGAGGGACGAUGGUGGAAGGGGCAGUGCCAGUGGUGGCUGGACAGGGGCGGAAAGAGCAUCUUCCACACACUUGGCAGAGGUAGUCAAAAAUAACAUGGUAGUUGGCUGGACCAGGAGGAAGAGAGAGGAGUCCAAGGAGGGGGAAGCUUUGACCCCACCAGUGACGAAGAAUAGUGCUGUGUCAGGAGCUACUUUGGGGUUUUGUCCGUUCAUGGGGGUGGGUUGGGCGGGGGAAGAAGGGAUGACUGUAGGAAAAUGAUGAGUCUAAAAUGUCAGCAAGAUGCCCAAAGGGUAUCCCAUUGCCGUGCUCUAGAAAAAGGAUUGGAAAUACAGUUUGGGGCUUUUGCUGCCUAAUGAUAUCCUGAGGACAAGAGGAAAGACUUCGUUAGGAGAAGAGAGAAGAAGAGAAAGAAUGGGGUUUCCCAGGCCAGCAGCAGUGGGCAGGGGCAGCCACUCCAAUCCCCAGAUGAUAAUGAGCAUUUACAAGCUGACCACUUUGGCCUCUCCUUCCUUGAGCCUCAGCCUCUUUAAAAAAAAAAUUUUUUUUUAAGAUUUCAUUUAUCCAUUCAUGAGAGACAGAGAGAGAGAGAGACACGGGCAGAGGGAGAAGCAGGCUCCCUGCGUUGGGGAGCACCAUGCAGGACUCGAUCCUGCGACCCCGGGGUCACAACCUGAGCUGAAGGCAGAUGCUCAACCACUGAGCCACCUACACAUCCUGAGCCUCAUCCUCUUGGUUCAGAUUAGGUGCCCAAUAAACACAUGAAUUCCCCUGAGUGGUGACUAUCUCUUUGGCCUGCAGCUGUCCCCCAGGGUCAUCUCUCCUCAGCUGUAGCUUCUACUGUGGCCCCCUGUAGACCCCAGGGGUGCCCUUUGCUCUCCCCUGAGGUGAGGCUCUCUGUUCUAGCCGUUGUGUGUCUCUGACCUCAUCUCCUACACCCUGCCUUCCUCACUGCUGGUGUGGAUUCUCUCGGACCUGCUUCCCUCAGCACGGGGCAGGGCUACUGGUAGUGGGGUAGGGGUGGAGAUACUUAUUGUACUAUUUAUUAUUAUUUUUUAAUUUAAGCAGGAGAGGCAGAGGGAGAGAGAGUCUCAAGCAGACUCCACGCUGAGCACAGAGCCCAUUGUGGGGCUCGAUCCCACCACCCUGAGGUUAUGACCUGAGCUGAAAUCAAGAGCAGGAAGCUUAACCAACUGUGCCACCCAGUUGCCCCACUUAUCAUAUAACUUAAACCCUAGUUCUCUCUACUCUUUCAUUGUUUGCUACUAGUUCUACCCCUACAAGCACCGGGGUGGGCAGGUGAGCAGGGCUCCACAAGUCAGUUUGAAAGAGAGACAGACCUACAGUCAUGUGCGGCACACUGGGCAACGUGGUCUCACCCCAGAGACUUUAAAAGAGAGGGACACUCAUGGGCCGCCUGGGUGGCUCCAUCGGAUAAGCAUCUGACUCUUGAUUUUUGGCUCAACUCAUGAUCUCAGGGUCCCGGGAUCAAGACCCUCGAUGGCUCGGGCUGCUUAAGGUUCUCCCUCUCCCUCUGUCCCUCCCCUCACCCUGCUUGCACUCACCCUCUCUCUCAAAAAAAAAAAAAAAGAAAAGAAAAGAAAAGAAAAAAGAGGUACCUCCAUUAAGGGUGUAUGUUUGGGUGGGGAGAUUUAUCCUUAGUGACCCCACACAUUUCUGUUGUUUACAUAAAAAUGAAAAAAAAAUGCUUUAGCAGGAAACUACCCCUCAGUAUGUCAAAAAACACCAAGGUAAAUCAGGCAAUUUCAGGAAAUGUUGUACUUUAGGGAGAUGGCUUGGGCAUUAAGAUAUUGCAACCCCUGCCUAGGGCAUUGGUUAGCUCCCCAACGGACACAAUUUACUAUAAUGUAGUGUCUGUCAUGGUUUGACUUGAUUUGCCCCCAGGAAAGUGACUGGAUCGUCACAUCACACCCUCCAAGUUAAAACUACUCACGUUUCUUGGUUCUGACCCAGGGCCAACGAAGCCGUCCUUUCCAGCAAUGUCAGCUGUGAGUUUGAGGUAUCACCUGGCCUUUUCUCAGGAAUUCCCAUUUCCAGUUUCUCAGGGGCCAAAACAAAGGCUUCGUAUGAGUUGCUGUUUAGGUUCUGGUCCCUGGGCCUAUCCCUCUUCUCGCCUCAUUUUUCUUCCUUGUGGACUGCAGCGUGAUCCAUCUACCCUGACUCUUAUCAGACAGCCCAGCUCUAUUUUUUAAUCCCGCAAAACAAUUUAUCUUGCUUUCCAAACCAACAUCAGUGCCUUCAAAUCAAAGGGACAAAAGUGUAUCGUUCUGAUUUUCUGCCUUUGAGGCUUCUGAGACCUGGGUUCUUGGGUCAGCUCUUCCUCAUUCUGCAUGAGCAAGUGCUCAUUGUAGUUAGCCUGGCUUUCUGCUUUUCCUAGGGCCUCACCUCCCCUGCUCUCCCUCCCGUGAUCAAAGGUUCACCCUCAGGUCUCUGGGAAAGAAAAAAAAAAAAGCCAUCUCUCCCCAUUCAACACG
rnacentral:lncRNA from 1 species